rnacentral:RNase_P_RNA from 1 species
UGAGUCGACCGGGCGGUCGCGGAGCAAUCCGAGGAAAGUCCGGACUCCACAGAGCACGGUGGUGGGUAACACCCACCUGGGGCGACCCACGGGAAAGUGCCACAGAGAAUAGACCGCCUGGCAACUUAGGUUGUCAGGUAAGGGUGAAACGGUGGUGCAAGAGACCACCGCGGCCCAUGUGAAUGGGUUGGCAGGGCAAACCCCACCGGGAGCAAGACCAAGAAGACCGAAAGGUCGCGGUGACGAACGGGCGGCUCGUCCGAUGUCACCGGGUAGGUCGCAGGCUGUGCCAGUUUGUCUGACCAGCCAAGGGCCUCGGCAACGAGACUCGAAGAUGGAUGACCGCCGCCCCCUCGGGGCACAGAAUCCGGCUUAUAGGUCGACUCAUCCC